rnacentral:rRNA from 1 species
UACGAAGGGUGCAAGCGUUACUCGGAAUUACUGGGCGUAAAGCGUGCGUAGGCGGUUACACAAGUUGGAUGUGAAAGCCCUCGGCUUAACUGAGGAAGUGCAUCCAAAACUGUGCAGCUAGAGUACUAAAGAGGGUCGCGGAAUUCCUGGUGUAGAGGUGAAAUUCGUAGAUAUCGGGAGGAACACCGGUGGCGAAGGCGGCGACCUGGGUAGAUACUGACGCUGAGGCGCGAAAGCGUGGGGAGCAAACAGG